GAGUUUGAUCCUGGCUCAGAACGAACGCUGGCGGCAUGCCUAACACAUGCAAGUCGAACGAAUGUAGCAAUACAUUAGUGGCGGACGGGUGAGUAACGCGUGGGAACCUGCCUUAGAGUGGGGGAUAACCACUGGAAACGGUGGCUAAUACCGCAUAUGCCCUGAGGGGCAAAGGCUUCGGCCGCUCUUAGAUGGGCCCGCGUACGAUUAGCUAGUUGGUGAGGUAACGGCUCACCAAGGCGACGAUCGUUAGCUGGUCUGAGAGGAUGAACAGCCACACUGGGACUGAGACACGACCCAGACUCCUACGGGAGGCAGCAGUGGGGAAUAUUGGACAAUGGGGGAAACCCUGAUCCAGCAAUGCCGCGUGAGUGAUGAAGGCCUUAGGGUUGUAAAACUCUUUCGCCCACGACGAUGAUGACGGUAGUGGGAAAAGAGAAGCCCCGGCUAACUUCGUGCCAGCCGCCGCCGUAAC
rnacentral:rRNA from 1 species